UGGGAACCUUCCCUAUGGUUCGGAAUAGCUCAGGGAAACUUGGGGUAAUACCGGAUAAGCCCUUCGGGGGAAAGAUUUAUCGCCAUUGGAUGGGCCCGCGUCGGAUUAGCUAGUUGGUGAAGUAACGGCUCACCAAGGCAACGACGGGUAGCUGGUCUGAGAGGAUGGCCAGCCACAUUGGGACUGAGACACGGCCCAGACUCCUACGGGAGGCAG
rnacentral:rRNA from 1 species